AUGGGCGCCAGGCUCCUCUGCUGUGUGACUCUCUGCUUCCUGGGAGCAGGCCUGGUGGAUUCUGAAGUCACCCAGACCCCCAAAUAUCUGAUCAAAUCAAGAAACCAGCAAGUGAUGCUGAGAUGUUCCUCUGAAUUUGGACAUCGCUUUGUGUACUGGUACCAACAGGCUCUGGGCCAGGGCCCCCAGUUCCUCAUUCAGUAUUACAACAGGGAAGUUAAUGAGAAAGGAAACAUAUCAGAUCGAUUCUCAGAACAGUUCAGUGAUUUUCGCUCGGAGCUGAGCUUGACCCCCUUGGAGCUGACGGACUCCGCUCUGUAUCUCUGUGCCAGCAGCCAAGACACAGCCCUGCGUGAUCAGGUGCCUCUGGGACAAAAACACUCCUGCCCCAGCUCAGGAAGUGGUAACCUGGGAAGCAGAGGCUCCUGUGAACUUGAAGGAGCUGUACCUGCCUUUGGCUGGUGGACCAACUGCCAGUGA